AACGCUUCUCAGCCUUUUGGCUAAGAUCUGUUCUUAUCAGUUCUCUAUAUGAGGACUACAUAUUAAAUUGAUUUUUAGAACAGGGAGACAGAAGAGGGGCUUGCUCCGUCCGCGCCACGCAUCGACCUGGUAUCACAGUACCUCCGGGGACGGUGCACCUCCU
rnacentral:snRNA from 1 species